rnacentral:rRNA from 1 species
UACAGGGGGGGCAAGCGUUGUUCGGAAUUACUGGGCGUAAAGGGCUCGUAGGUGGCCAACUAAGUCAGACGUGAAAUCCCUCAGCUUAACUGGGGAACUGCGUCUGAUACUGGAUGGCUUGAGUUUGGGAGAGGGAUGCGGAAUUCCAGGUGUUGCGGUGAAAUGCGUAGAUAUCUGGAGGAACACCGGUGGCGAAGGCGGCAUCCUGGACCGGUAUUGACGCUGAGGCGCGAAAGCCAGGGGAGCAAACGGG